UGGAUUAUGGAGCCGGUAACAACCGUCUAAAAAUGUAAAACAUCUUAAUGCUGGAUUUGUUUCAGCUUUUGUCUUCUCCAGAUGUUAACUGCUGGACUGGAGUGCUGUGGAUUAUUGUGAUGUUUUUAUCAGCUGUUUGGACUCUCAUUCUGACGGCACCCAUUCACUGCAGAACAUCCAUUGAUGAGACACUGAUUCAAUGCUACAUUUCUCCAAACCUGAUGAAGAAAUAAACUCAUCCUAAUCUUAGAUGACCUGUGAGCACAUUUUAUGCAAAUGUUCUUUUUUGGCUGAACUCUUUCUUUAAGUCAUAAGCUGUAAUGGUUGUACAGUUGUGUAUUGGAUGUUGCAUUAUACAGUAUCUUUAUUCUAGCACAACAAAGCCGCUCCCUGUUUUUAUGUGUUCUCUCAAUCCGCAGGGAUCACGGGACAGCACGAGCCAUGUUUGUAUUUGUGUGCUGUACACAUAUAUAGGAUCAAAUAAACAGAUGUUUACUUUUA